rnacentral:lncRNA from 1 species
CUCUGGGGUGUAGCAGGGUGUAAUGUUGUUGUUGUCUCUGGGGUGUAGCAGGGUGUAAUGUUGUUGUGGUCUCUGGGGUGUAGCAGGGUGUAAUGUUGUUGUGGUCUCUGGGGUGUAGCAGGGUGUAAUGUUGUUGUGGUCUCUGGGGUGUAGCAGGGUGUAAUGUUGUUGUGGUCUCUUGGGUGUAGCAGGGUGUAAUGUUGUUGUUGUCUCUGGGGUGUAGCAGGGUGUAAUGUUGUUGUGGUCUCUGGGGUGUAGCAGGGUGUAAUGUUGUUUUGGUCUCUGGGGUGUAGCAGGGUGUAAUGUUGUUGGUCUCUGGGGUGUAGCAGGGUGUAAUGUUGUUGUGGUCUCUGGGGUGUAGCAGAGUGUAAUGUUGUUGUGGUCUCUGGGGUGUAGCAGGGUGUAAUGUUGUUGUGGUCUCUGGGGUGUAGCAGGGUGUAAUGUUGUUGGUCUCUGGGGUGCAGCAGGGUGUAAUGUUGUUGUUGUCUCUGGGGUGUAGCAGGGUGUAAUGUUGUUGGUCUCUGGGGUGUAGCAGGGUGUAAUGUUGUUGUGGUCUCUGGGGUGUAGCAGGGUGUAAUGUUGUUGUUGGUCUCUGGGGUGUAGCAGGGUGUAAUGUUGUUGGUCUCUGGGGUGUAGCAGGGUGUAAUGUUGUUGUUGGUCUCUGGGGUGUAGCAGGGUGUAAUGUUGUUGUUGUCUCUGGGGUGUAGCAGGGUGAAAUGUUGUUGUUGUCUCUGGGGCGUAGCAGGGUGUAAUGUUGUUGUUGUCUCUGGGGUGUAGCAGGGUGUAAUGUUGUUUUGGUCUCUGGGUUGUAGCAGGGUGUAAUGUUGUUGUCUCUGGGGUGUAGCAGGGUGUAAUGUUGUUGUUGGUCUCUGGGGUGUAGCAGUGUGUAAUGUUGUUGUGGUCUCUGGGGUGUAGCAGGGUGUAAUGUUGUUGUGGUCUCUGGGGUGUAGCAGGGUGUAAUGUUGUUGGUCUCUGGGGUGUAGCAGGGUGUAAUGUUGUUGUUGUCUCUGGGGUGUAGCAGGGUGUAAUGUUGUUGUGGUCUCUGGGGUGGGCAGCGAGGUCUAUUCCCUAAAUAGUACACUACUUUAGAUCAGAACCCUAUGGACCCUAGUCAAAAGUAGUGCGCUGUUUGGGAAAUAGGUUAGUUAUGUAGCGGUCCAAAUAGGACAAUGGCAUUUGGGAAGCCACAAAUAUGAUUCUCUUUUACAAGAAGGCUUGUUGCCAUGGUAAUAUGUCCAUGCUGCUGGACUUAUUACACAAAGGAGAUUUUUUUUUGUUGAUAUGUAAAAUAAUGUUUUUUUCUGCUGUUUCCCUUCCACAAGGACCUGUAUUUCUUCCAGGUGUGAUGAACGAUUCCUGAGCUUUCUUCUCCUUCUUCUUUGGUAUUGGAUACAGCGCCACCUACUGUACUGGAGUGUGAGGCGAGUCACGGCCUACCUACAUUAAAUUAUCUUCAUUAUACCCC